UGCGUAGGCGGUUUUCUAAGUUUGGUGUGAAAUCUCCCGGCUUAACUGGGAGGGUGCGCCGAAAACUGGAAAGCUGGAGUGUGGGAGAGGUAAGCGGAAUUCCUGGUGUAGCGGUGAAAUGCGUAGAUAUCAGGAGGAACACCUGCGGUGUAGACGGCUUGCUGGACCAUAACUGACGCUGAGGCACGAAAGCGUGGGUAGCAAACA
rnacentral:rRNA from 1 species